UACGAAGGGGGCGAGCGUUGUUCGGAAUUACUGGGCGUAAAGGGCGCGUAGGCGGCCGUGGAAGUCAGGCGUGAAAGCCCCGGGCUCAACCUGGGAAUUGCGCUUGAUACUCCGGGGCUUGAGUUCGGGAGAGGAGAGUGGAAUUCCCAGUGUAGAGGUGAAAUUCGUAGAUAUUGGGAAGAACACCAGUGGCGAAGGCGGCCUUCUGGGUCGACCCUGACGCUGAGAGGCGAAAGCGUGGGGAGCGAACGGG
rnacentral:rRNA from 1 species